UGCAAAAAUGUUAGGUGAAAUAAAAGGCAGUUUCUCUUCUUUAAAAAAAAAUACUCCAUAUUUAUUAAUCUUUUGAAUACAAAUAGCUGCACAACUUAAUAUAGCUUUAAAAUAAGGGGGUCUCAUUCACUAAUAAUUGUGUACACUAUUCAUAUUUAUUUGCACAUUUGAAUUUCUCACAAAAACGGUCUAAUUCACAACAUGUGCUUAUGUACAUGAAUUUAAUCUUAACCUCGUUCUAAUGUUGAUGAAUUUGGAGUAUUCUAAAUGAGCAACUAUGUGCCUGAGGUAAGUAAUUUACAUAAAACACACCAAAACCAUGUCCGUAUAAGAGCAUUUAGCACACCUUUUCUUUCCUAACUCUCAGCAAACACGACAUUCACUAAAAACGUGUUCUCGCCUGAGAGCACGCACAGCAAGAUCUGUUAGCAAUGCCACAAACGCCAUCAUUCAAACACAGUAAACACCUACUAUACAGACAUUACAGACUUUGAUCUUGUUUUUGUUCCUUUGCACCUAGGCAUGCACUGGGCUUUGGCUGUAAGUCAUUUAUGAGUUAAGAUGCCUUUUUACAUUUUUCAGUUUUAAUAUUUACAUUAUAUUUGAAAAGUGCAAAACACUAUUUAUGAUUUUCAGUUUGUCUUUAACUUGUUGCCUAUAUUGCUUCUUACCACCAGGUAAUUGAUUUAAAAUCCCAGACCAUAAAGUGCUAUGACUCAAUAGGUCAAAGACAUGAUGAGAUUUGUCACGUGUUGUUAAAGUACCUCACAAAGGAGUACAGGGUCAAGAAAGGCUGUGUCUUGGAGGCUUCCAGGUGGACCGUAGGCCGAAUGAGAACUAAUGCAAUUCCUAAACAGGUGAAUGGAGAUGACUGUGGUGUUUUUGCCUGUAAAUAUGCAGACUUCCUUUCUCAAGGAAAGCCACUCACUUUCAGACAGGUACAUGAUCAAGCAACAGUAGUUAUGUUAACAACAUUAAUUCUCAAACAUUUUAUUGAAUACUUUUCAUUUCUGAUUUGUCUCUGUUUCUCUGUAGUGUGACAUUCCACUGUUCAGGAAAGUGAUGGUUUGGGAGAUUAUACAUGAGAAGAUCCUGUAAGCCUUGAAUCAACCAGUUCUUCAAAUAUCUUCAUGUCAUGUUCUUUCUGUGUAAAUUAAAUUGACUAUGGAAUUAUGGAUAAUUAUAAGGUUAUUUUUUUACAGGCAAGAGCUGUGGAAAAUAUUCUGAGAUUAAUAAUAAAAAAAAAGGCCUAACUGCAAAUUUGACCUGUGUGAUAGGACAGAUGAUUAUAAUAAUGUUUAAUUUAUAUAGCGCCUUUCCCAAGCUCAAGGACACUGUACAAAAGCAGAAACACAAUAGACAGUCGAUUCACAUAAUUGUAACAGUCCUUUCACAAUCAAUUAAUCAGUUAAGUGGACAGUAGACAGUUGCCCAGUUAUCUGAAGUUACUGUAUAUAAUAAAAAAUGUAUUUAACACGAAACCCCUGAGAUCAGGACAGGUAUUUGAAGUUAUAACAGUAUGAAUGUAAUAUGACACGAAACCCCUGAGAUCAGGACAGGUAUCUGAAGUUACUGUAUAUAAUAUAAAAGGUAU